rnacentral:tRNA from 1 species
GGUAAUAGCUCAGUUGGUAGAGCACUAGCUUCCCAAGCUGGGGGUCGCGGGUUCGAACCCCGUUUACC